CCACCUCCUUAAUAGAGAGGCUAUUCAAUCUCAAAGGAAUUGCUGUGAGUAGGUGUUGCACAUGCACUGUUUCUCUUUCCUCAUGCAAACUGUUUAUGUUGCCCUGCAGGGUGGUGAUGUCAAAAUGGCAGAUGCCACAACGGCAAAGACUGAAAAGAAGGUGAGAGGAAUUCUUUAAAGGUGCUGGUGAAGUUGUUGAUGUCCGAUUUGCUUCAAAUGAAGAGGGUGACUUCAAGGGAUUCGACAUGUUGAGGUUUGCCACUGAGGCAACAACUCACAAGUGUUACCAUGACACUUCCAAUGCAACAAAUGAGCUUGUUCAGAAGAUACUACUGACAAGACUGGAGCCUGGAGUUGUUGAUGUGUUUCUUGAUUUCAUUUGCUACUCACGUGGUCCUCUACCUGACGAACUGCUCACCCAAGUUAAGGGAGUUCAUGUUUCAGAGGACUUUGUUGCCAAGCAAUUGAGGUCCAUGCUUUCUGAUAUGUAGGUUGAUGUGGUUACAGUCAAACACGACAUUGAGCAUGCAACAAGAAAAUAGAUUGAAGUAGAUGGGUGUGGUGGUGAGGAACGUUUGUUUGUGACUCAAAAGACUGAAGAUGAAUGAGCAGAGGGAAAUGUUAGCAAAGAUUGCAGUGGGGAAAAUGUCUAUAGAGCAAUUAGCUAAUCUGCUCUCAAGAUCUGCAGCACAAGGUAGCUCUCAAACUUCCGUGGAAAGCAACAGGAAGCAGAACUUUGCUUAGUGUUAUUUAUGUCUAUUUUGUUAGUUUAAAUAGAUGGUUAACUAUUUGUUGGUAUUGUGCUUUUAUGCUUAGUGUUAUUUGUGUCUGUAGUAUUUUUAAAAAUUUUAAAUAGAAGGUUAACUAUU